AAGUCGUAACAAGGUUUCCGUAGGUGAACCUGCGGAAGGAUCAUUAAAUUCAGUAGCUUGCUACUGUUAGGGGGGGUCUAUUAGUCUGUAUAGUAUCACUACUGAUGAGCAGCAUGACCCUCUGUCUAUACCCUUGUCUUUUGCGCACUCAUGUUUCCUCGGCGGCUUGAUACCCGCCGGCUGGAUCAAUCUAUAACCUUUUUAAUUUUCAAUCAGCGUCUGAAAAACCUAAUAAUUACAACUUUCAACAACGGAUCUCUUGGUUCUG
rnacentral:misc_RNA from 1 species